GAUGAACGCUAGCGGCAGGCCUAAUACAUGCAAGUCGAACGGUAAGUAUGAUAGCAAUAUUGUACCAAGAGUGACGUACGGGUGCGUAACACGUAUGCAACCUACCCUUUACAGAUGGAUAGCUCGGGGAAACUCGAAUUAACCCGUCAUAGUAUAGUUGAAUGGCAUCAUUUAAUUAUUAAAACUGAGGUGGUAAAGGAUGGGCAUGCGUCUGAUUAGUUAGUUGGCGGGGAACGGCCCACCAAGACGAUGAUCAGUA
rnacentral:rRNA from 1 species